GCUGGGUGUGGUGAUGCACACCUGUGGUCCCAGCUACUCGGGAGGUUGAGGCAGGAGGAUCACUUUAGCCCAAGAUUUUGGGGCUACAGUGAGCUACAGUGAUGUGCCACUGCACUCCAGCCUGGGUGACAGAGUGAGACCCUGUCUCUA
ensembl:misc_RNA Metazoa_SRP Metazoan signal recognition particle RNA